rnacentral:rRNA from 1 species
GACGAACGCUGGCGGCGUGCUUAACACAUGCAAGUCGAACGGAGAGUCGAACGGGUGAGUAACACGUGGGGGAUCUGGCUUGCACGAGGGGAUAAGCUAGGGAAACCGGGUGUAAAUCCGGAUAGGGCAAGAGGAGCGCGCGGCCUAUCAGCUUGUUGGUGGGGUAAUGGCGUACCCAGGCGUAGAAGGGUAGCCGGCCUUGGAGGGGGUACGGCGACAUUGCGACUGAGGGACGGAGCAGACUCGUACGGGGGGCAGCAGUGGGGAAUAUUGCACAAUGGGCGGAAGUCUGAUGAAGAGACCCUGCGUGGGGGAUGAAGGCCUUCGGGUUGUAAACUCCUUUCGACAGGGACGCGGUACCUGUAUAAGAAGCACCGGCUAACUACGUGCCAGCAGCCGCGGUAAUAC